AUUUUUUUCCUUCACUGCUCGGCCUAGCCGCUCCCCCCCGCCCCGAUCCUCCUCUCCCUCUCUCCUUCUCUCUCUCUCUCUGACGCACUGGGCCCGCCCGUCAGGGCCUUCUCCCACCUCCAGCCGCUCCGCCUUCCCCCACCGCCGCCGCUCUCUCCGGCUGUUUCUCCCGCGCCCCUUGCACUCCCGUCUACCCCGGCCCGCCUUGAAGGCCGCCAUCAAUCGCCGCCAUCGCCUCCUUGCCUCCCAUUCCGUUCCCCUCCCCUCUCCCGCCACUAACGGCCGGCCGCUCGCCAUUGAUGGCCAUCACGGCCACCACCGUGCCCCGGCCGCCACCACCCCGCCCCUUCUCCUCUUUCCCUCCCUCUAUAAAACACACGCCCGAGCCCCAUGCUCCCUUCUUCCAAUUUCCCCCUCGCUCCACGCCCCCUCUCGCAGCGCUGCCGCAUGAGAGCUUCGAGAGCCGCCGCCGUCGAUCCGUCGCCCCGCUGCUUCUCCUUGACGACCAGCCGCCGCCGAAGUUUCCCCACAUGGUGAGGAAGCCUCCAGGCCCUUUUCCCCUCUCUCUCCCGCACCAGCGCCUCGGCGAUUGCUCGCUGGAGCGCCGUGCCCGUCCCUCACCGCCGACGGCUCCAUCCGGCUACGUCCCUGCCCCCUCGACACCACCAUGGCAUUUUUCGUCGCCCCCUCGUCCUCACCAGCCUCUCCGCGCGUGAAACCGAGGUUGGGCGCUCGGUUUUGAGCAGCCCCGGCGAGGCCCGCCGCCGCGUGCCGCCGUCCGCUGUUCGCCCGAGCCGCCAGCGCUGCUGAGCCGCGCAACCGAGUUGAGCCGCCGCCCCGCCAGGCAGCCGCUUCGCCCGCCCGAGCCGUCGCCGAGCUGAGCCGCUGAGCCAAGCCGCCCCAACCGCUCUCCACCGUCGGAUUUCGAUCAGACGGCCCGGUUCUGUUCAGCACAAAGUCAAUACCGGUCAGCUUUGGCAGUUUUGCAAAAAGGCUCUUCAGUUUCUAAGAAAUCAACCCUCAAUCCAUCCAGUUCAAAUAUAUUUACAGUUAUACCCUUUUCUUACGUUUUAGCCUUCGUAUCUUUCAAAAUUCUCGCAGAUAAGCUUCUGGAAUCUUGUUUUACCCGUAUCUUUCUUGUUCUAACUCCAAUUUCAGCGAUUCUCGCGCUCAUGCAAUCCUUGCAUCAUGCUCCUCAACAUCUUUAUCACCUUAUUCUGCUUUGUUUGUACUAUUUACUUUAUUGUUUCUUACUUGUUGUAUGUUUUACUUGUGUGAUCGCGUAGACAACGUGCCGUUCGAGGAAAGACAUGAGCCGUAGUACGAAGAAGAGUUUCAACAGUUUAGCGAGAAAGGCAAGUGGACUUCUUCCCCUGCAUAUUCUAUUUUAUCCCAAUAAUAGUAUGAUAAACCACUUUACCUUAAUGUUGCAUUGCAUUAAAAUAAUGAGAUGUCUAUUAAUGACUUACCUGAUCUUUUACUCCUGAAACCUUGAACACCGGGAUUUAAUUUAAUAUGUUGGGUAGAAAUGCUUAGAUGCUUUAUCUUAGGAUGGUUAUGUUAUAAUAUUUUGAAUAUUAAAUAUGACUUUAUAUGUUGUUAUAUGCUUGUUAAUUGCAAGAACACUAUAUUUAAUUGGCAUACGGAGAAAAAAAAACAGUACAACCACAAUGUCACAUGGCUCUAACCCUAACUGAUUAAUUAGACGCGUAAUGAACUAGUGGCUUUACCGAAAGGGCAAGGAGGGGGUCGGUGAUGGGGUAUAGCCCAGUCCUCUUGGGAUAGCAGCCUUUGCUAAGGUGCUGAUCAUUAGGGAAGAUUAUGUACCACACUGCUACUGAAACUCUAGUGGGCCAUUAGUUUCUCUGCGUAUCUUUGUAAAGGCUUUGUGUGAAUCCCUUGCCACUCAUCUUGGAAGUGUUUAAGAGGCUAGCUACCUCGGGCAAAUAGGGAGAUACGAAUUGUGGUGAAAGUGUACAACCUCUAUAAAGUGAAAACUGAUAUAUCAGCCGUGCUCACGAUUACGAGCGGCUUGGAUCCUCACAUGAUAAUAGAACUUAAAUAAUAAAUUAAAUUAUGGUUCUUGGCUUUAGAAUAAUAUUGUUUACUUUAUGCUUAAGUGGGUUGGUAUAAACUUAUACUUAGAUAAAUAGAUGCUCGCUAAUAAAAUAUGACCAAUUAAAAUGCUAACCGCUAUAAGCCUUUUUGCCUCUCUUGCUGGCUUUGUAUUUGUUCCCCCAUUUGUUGAGUACCAACCAUAAGUGUACUCACCCUUGCCUAACCUUGCCUAACCGCUGCUCAGAAGAGAACAUUGAAGUGAAGAACUACGACGAUUUUGAAGAGUUCUAGACGUGCGCUCAUUGGUCAACUGCUUGUGGAAGAAGAUGUUGCUGAAGACUUCGUUCAGGAUAAUGGUAGAACAUUUAUAAUAUUCGGAGUGUAAUAAUAUUAUUAUUCCCUUUUAUUUACAUGUUUGAACAUUAUCUUUGAUAUAUUACACUUUCUAUCUCAACGUAUGCGUGAGAACGGAUCUUGGCACAUAUAUUCUAUGCAUUCGUGAGGUAGUUUUUAUCAUUUGUAUAUCAUUAUCUUUGAGUUAGGUCCACACAUGUGGCAUUUAU
rnacentral:lncRNA from 1 species